rfam:Gossypium arboreum cultivar AKA8401 contig_45312_1, whole genome shotgun sequence.
UGUUAAAACUUUCAUCCAUUUCUACUAUUAGAAGUUGGCAUGGUUGACGGAAUAACUAGAUAGUUACGUGUGGCGUGCCAUAUAUACCUCAUGCUGACAUACAAGGACUAGUUUUUAACAGAAAAAUGAAUGAAAUUUUUAAUA